UGCCAGCAGCCGCGGUAAUACGGAGGGUGCAAGCGUUAAUCGGAAUUACUGGGCGUAAAGAGCACGUAGGUGGUUUGGUAAGUCGGAUGUGAAAUCCCUGGGCUCAACCUGGGAAUUGCAUUCGAAACUGGCGAACUUGAGUACGGGAGAGGAAAGUGGAAUUCCGAGUGUAGGGGUGAAAUCCGUAGAUAUUCGGAGGAACACCAGUGGCGAAGGCGGCUUUCUGGACCGAUACUGACGCUGAGACGCGAAAGCGUGGGGAGCAAACAGGAUUAGAUA
rnacentral:rRNA from 1 species